GAUCAUGGCUCAGGAUGAACGCUGGCGGCGUGCCUAACACAUGCAAGUCGAACGAGCGAGAGAUGAAACCUAGUGAUUCUCGAGCGAGUGGCGGACGGGUGAGUAACGCGUGGGUAACCUGCCUUACAGAGGGGGAUAACAGUCUGAAAAGACUGCUAAUACCGCAUAAGCACACAGUACCGCAUGGUACAGGGUGAAAAGAUUUAUCACUGUAAGAUGGACCCGCGUCUGAUUAGCCAGUUGGCAGGGUAACGGCCUACCAAAGCGACGAUCAGUAGCCGACCUGAGAGGGUGAUCGGCCACAUUGGGACUGAGACACGGCCCAAACUCCUACGGGAGGCAGCAGUGGGGGAUAUUGCACAAUGGAGGAAACUCUGAUGCAGCCGACGCCGCGUGAGUGAAGAAGUAUUUCGGUAUGUAAAGCUCUAUCAGCAGGGAAGAUAAUGACAGUACCUGACCAAGAAGCCCCGGCUAACUACGUGCCAGCCGCUGC
rnacentral:rRNA from 1 species